rnacentral:rRNA from 1 species
UACAGAGGUGGCAAGCGUUGUUCGGAAUUACUGGGCGUAAAGGGCGCGUAGGCGGUUCGUUAAGUCCUGUGUGAAAUCCCCCGGCUCAACUGGGGAACUGCACAGGAAACUAGCGGGCUUGAGUUCGGGAGAGGGAAGCGGAAUUCCGGGUGUAGCGGUGAAAUGCGUAGAUAUCCGGAGGAACACCGGUGGCGAAGGCGGCUUCCUGGACCGACACUGACGCUGAGGCGCGAAAGCUAGGGGAGCAAAC